rnacentral:misc_RNA from 1 species
ACAGCAUAUACAUUGAUCGAUGAUGCACUCCAAUAUGUUUUAGAUCACAAAAAAGAGUAACCGAGUUCUCCAGGAGACACAAAAAUCGAAGUUGAACACAAUUUUUUUUAGGUAAAAACUUACACAAUUUAAAGGAACAUUGAACUUAAUAUACAAUCUCGGGAGCAAUCUAUGGUUCCUAUUUAUACAAGAUGCUCAAAAUUUUACCCUUCAAUAAUCCAA